CAUGUUCCCUGAAAAUCUCUAACUAAAAAUCUCUUCUUCUUCUCAUAUAUUUCCCCACAACUUGACUUCAUCAUUCUUCCAAUCUGCCGUUAUUUAUCUUCUUCUCCAUCAAAAGUGAGGGAGAAAAGAGAAAAUUGUGAUAUGCAAAACCUGCAACCUGUGCAACUUUCCUUUCUCCCACAGGGUGAGCUGUGCACAUUGUUGGCGGUUGGAAUAAGAAGUGAGUGAGGAGUAAGCUUGUGAGAUUGAGCGGCGAUGGACGUGGAGGAUGUUGAGCAGAGUUGUUGGAAAAUUAUAUCUUGUUUGGUUGUUGGAUUUGUCGGGUCUUCAUACUCGGCAUUUUUCCAUGUCUUGACGCUUCCGCUAAAAUCCUAAAUUUCCUUUGGACUGUUUUAUCAUUGGGUCUUAUUAUUCAAAGUAAGUUUUGUUGA